rnacentral:rRNA from 1 species
UACGUAGGGGGCAAGCGUUGUCCGGAAUCAUUGGGCGUAAAGAGCGUGUAGGCGGCCCGGUAAGUCCGCUGUGAAAGUCCAGGGCUCAACCCUGGGAUGCCGGUGGAUACUGUCGGGCUCGAGUCCGGAAGAGGAGUGUGGAAUUCCUGGUGUAGCGGUGAAAUGCGCAGAUAUCAGGAGGAACACCAAUGGCGAAGGCGGCUCUCUGGGGUGCACCUGACGCUGAUGCGCGAAAGCGUGGGGGGCGAACCGG